GUUCCUACUCCAUCAAGUAUUAGCAUUUCGGGGCCAUGAUGAAUCAGAAACAUCUAUUAAUCGGGGGAAUUUUCUAGAGUUGAUAAAGCUUUUGGCGGAGCAAAAUGAAAAAAAUAUGAAGGUUGUGCUAAGAAAUGCUCCUGAAAACCAUAAAAUGGUGGCUCCAUCAAUUCAAAAGGACAUUGCUCAAUGCUUUGGAGAGAUCAUAGUUGAGUCUAUCAUCGAAGAGAUCGGGGGUGAUGUGUUUUGCUUGUUGGUUGAUGAAUUUGCUGAUGUUUCAGACAAGGAACAAAUGGUUGUGGUUUUGCGAUAUGUCGAUAAAUGUGGAGUGCUCAAAGAAAGACUAAUUGGUGUAGUUCAUGUCAAUGAGACAUCAUCUUUACGUCUCAAAACCAACGUUGAUCAAUUAUUUGCCAAGUACAAAUUGAGUUGGAAACAAGUGAGGGACAAGGUUAUGAUGGAGCAAGCAACAUGAGAGGUUGCUUUUAUAUCCUAAUUUUGAUGUUUGCUUGGAAGCCGGAGCUUUUGA